CGGCGAGGCCCCUUCGUGAGGCGAAACGGCGUCACCGGGGGUGCGGACGCGGCGCGCCCCUCCACCUGCCCGCGGAACGGGUGGGGAACAGCGGCCAACCGCCUCCGCCCGAGCGCCGCCGCCGCCGCCUCCCCGAGGGGCCGCAGGUGCCCUCCCGCGGCCGCGCCCCGCCCGGGCUUCCCCUCGGCUCGGCGCGGCGCCCCCCGCUCCGCUCCCGGUACCUGGUGGUGGUUGUAGGAGUUCCGCUGUUGCAGGAAGGCGGCGGCGGCGGCGGCCGCCUGGUGUUGGUGCUGGAGCUGCGGGCUCACCGGGGACCUCCGGUUCUGCUGCUGUUGCUGCUGCUGAGGGAGCGAGCUCAUAGAUCUUUGGAUACGUCUCCAGAGACAUGAUGAUUCCAGCGUCAGAAUAAUCUGCUCCAUAACGUGACCACAUUUAGGAGACCAGCUCCUGGGAGGAGACCCAAGGAGACAUCUUGAAAUUUCUGAGCAGAGAGGCUUUUGACACAGAGUUGGUGUACGCCGGAUGGCAUCCAGUUGGUAGCCUGCAUUGCUGGUGCAGCAGGAGGAAGCAAGCCUCUGACAAGAGCUAGAUAUGUCACCCUGCAGGACUGCACGGACAGCUUAAAUGGAGUGUAUGUUUGCACCUAAGCAGACUGUUAAGGUCAGUGCUUUAAAUUUCUGGCAAAGAUUUGUCAGAAUUUGCUUCUUAAACUUCUGUAAGUCAAUAGGGGAGCAAGUUCCCUUCUGAGCCAUAGCAUCUGUGUUGUACUAGCAGUAAAGACAACAGUAUGAGAAAAUAUAUUCUCUUGUACUUGACCUUAUUUCCUCUUUGAGUGUAAGAUGGAUGUUCAGUAAUUUUACAAGAACACCCACUGUUUCAAUGAAAUUAUUUUCAAUGGAUUCUGUAAGAAAUUUGCAGCUUUAAUUACUUGGGAAUUAUCUUAGAAAUUAGUGAUACAGAUCCUUCAGAUUCACUGUAGGACUAAAAUUAAUCAAACUGUUUCGUACAGGCUAGAAUUGAAGAUGUACAGAUUGAAAUUAAGAAGAGUAUUAACUGUAUCAUUGAGACUAAUUAUGACUACAUAUUCAGUAACAGAAGUGAGGUCAACAGCUCCAAGAGUGACUAUCGCAAUAUCCAGCAGCCAUAGCACUGACAUUGAGACUGGCUGGGCCAUGAGGUCAUGCUUCUGGGAGGAUGAAGAGGAAGGCCUGGAUGCACUGAGGAAGAGAGUUGAACUCAACUUUGCUAUACAGCAGAUGAAUAUUCACCCUGGUGUAUAUAUAUAUAUAAAUCUAUUUAUUUAAAAGCAAGUAAGUUCAACUUCUGAACAGUGCAUGGUAACUGUUAGGGAAGCUCUCUUUUUUUCUCCCACCCAUCUUCAUCCUCCUUUUAAACAUUCCUAACUUUGGUCGGGACUCAGAAACAAGAGCUCUUGAGUUCUUCAUGCACUUUACAUCUCUGAUCUGAUGAUCAGUUGUAAAUCAGUUUUAGCUUUGUCAUUUUCUACCAUUCAUGCUGUUGUGAUGAUAACAAAAUCAUGGAAAACCAAUAUGCCUCUUUCACCAUGUACAUUUGGAUUACGAAAAACAUAUUCUUGUGGUUCUUUCUUAGGGUUCGUUUAUAAUAUUUUAAUUAUUAAAAAAUAAAGAAAAGAAAUCAAAGAAAAUCUCCUGCCAUGAAAUAUGUAAAAAGCUGAAUAACAUAGAAUAUUUAUGCUUAAGUAUUUUGGAAAUGCGUUAUCUUUACAAAAGAAUCAUUGAAACCUGGGAAAUGUAGUGAAAAUAUUGUACUUCAAUAAAAUAUAUUAAAAAAGAAAAUAUAUCAAGUCAUCCAGGAAACCUUAAUUUUCUGCUAUAAUGAGAACUUGAGGGAAAUGUGAAGUUAAAUUUAGUUUAUUUCUGUAGGCACUAAAUUUUUAACUAUUUCUGCAUAGUUUUACUAAGAAUUAGGAUUGUACGACCUAAUCAUUAACUCCUCAACCUGCAUAAUUUUAGAUUUUUUUGCAGGCUUAAUCCAACUCUGGGACUGGAAAUCAUAUCUUCUAACUGUACAGCUACAAGAUGAAGGGACUAGGAAAAAAGCAGGGGAAAAUCAGAACUAUUAUGUUCAUCUCUUAUACAGAGAACACAAAACCUACUGUAAUUAUGUCAUUUCCUCUCUCAUUAUGGUAUUGAGAGCCCAGAUCCAUUUUUAUGUAGUGGUACAAAACAGUUUGCUAUUUAAGUAUAGCUUACAGGAGCUACUUUGCAGAAUUGAUAUUCACAUACGCCACAAAUCAAUUGUUCCCACGAUAUUAAAAGGGAAAAUUAUCUCGAUCUUUAAAAAUUCCCAAACCUUGGUAAAUCUCCUUGAGUAAUUGUGAUAUAAUUUUGGGUCAAUGUGCUUUGACCAAAGGUCAGUCAAAAUGAAUAAUCCAGGGAACAUUUGUUUUCCUAUUGGUAAUCCUUUUUUUUGUGCAUGCUUAUGCAGUUUGUUGUAAGUGAAGAGCUCAUAAUAUUUAUACGUUAGGAAAUCAAAGGGCUUUUCUCUCUUCUUUAUCUUUUUUGUCUUUCUUUUUCUUUUUCUUUUUCUUUUUCUUUUUCUUUUUCUUUUUC
rnacentral:lncRNA from 1 species